CCUACGGGAGGCAGCAGUGAGGAAUAUUGGACAAUGGGCGCAAGCCUGAUCCAGCCAUGCCGCGUGCAGGAAGACGGUCCUAUGGAUUGUAAACUGCUUUUGUACAGGAAGAAACACUCCCUCGUGAGGGAGCUUGACGGUACUGUAAGAAUAAGGAUCGGCUAACUCCGUGCCAGCAGCCGCGGUAAUACGGAGGAUCCAAGCGUUAUCCGGAAUCAUUGGGUUUAAAGGGUCCGUAGGCGGUUUAAUAAGUCAGUGGUGAAAUCUGGUCGCUCAACGAUCAAACGGCCAUUGAUACUGUUAGACUUGAAUUAUUAGGAAGUAACUAGAAUAUGUAGUGUAGCGGUGAAAUGCUUAGAUAUUACAUGGAAUACCAAUUGCGAAGGCAGGUUACUACUAAUGGAUUGACGCUGAUGGACGAAAGCGUGGGGAGCGAACAGGAUUAGAUACCCUGGUAGUCCACGCCGUAAACGAUGGAUACUAGCUGUUCGGAGCAAUCUGAGUGGCUAAGCGAAAGUGAUAAGUAUCCCACCUGGGGAGUACGUUCGCAGAAUGAAACUNAAAGGAAUUGACCGGNNGAGAGNGCGAGACGACGACGAGGAGGAGG
rnacentral:rRNA from 1 species